AUUGAACGCUGGCGGCAGGCUUAACACAUGCAAGUCGAGCGGAGAUGAGGUGCUUGCACCUUAUCUUAGCGGCGGACGGGUGAGUAAUGCAUCGGAACGUACCCGGAAGUGGGGGAUAACGUAGCGAAAGUUACGCUAAUACCGCAUAUUCUGUGCGCAGGAAAGAGGGGGAUCUUCGGACCUCUUGCUUUCGGAGCGGCAGAUGUCAGAUUAGCUAGUUGGUGGGGUAAAGGCCUACCAAGGCGACGAUCUGUAGCGGGUCUGAGAGGAUGAUCCGCCACACUGGGACUGAGACACGGCCCAGACUCCUACGGGAAGCAGCAGUGGGGAAUUUUGGACAAUGGGCGCAAGCCUGAUCCAGCCAUGCCGCGUGAGUGUAGAAGGCCUUCGGGUUGUAAAGCUCUUUCGGCCGGGAAGAAAUCGCACCAGUUAAUACCUGGUGUGGAUGACGGUACCGGAAUAAGAAGCACCGGCUAACUACGUGCCAGCCGCCGCCGUAA
rnacentral:rRNA from 1 species